rnacentral:lncRNA from 1 species
GUUAUAUAUAUAUUUUUUCAUCGAGGCAGAAUUAAUUUCCGAAGAAGAAGAAGGAUUUUUAAAUUUCGAUGCUAAAAAAAACAGUAAAAAUUUUUCUUAGAAAGGAUGCAACUGACGAUAACGGAAGACUGGGCAUGGUUCUGAACAGGAUACCUCCUAAUCUCUCAUCACAAACAUCCAUUUAUAAUCCUAGAAUGAAGCAUACAUUGUCUGGUCGAAUCUCACUUAUCAGUCUAUCAAAACUUGCUUAUCUCGCAUAUGAUUCCAUCAUAAUUAUCAGUGCUGUUCUGCAUCUCCGAAUGCUUCAAAAUAAAAAUAAAAAAACAAAAACUGCCCUACCGAAACGGUAGGAGUAGAAGAAUAAAUUAUUUUGUGCUAACUUUUCCCAUCAGAUUUUUAUCUGCGUGGUUGCAGUAGUUGUAGGAUAGGAUAAUUCUUUUUUUUUAAAUAAUAAAUAUGACGUCACUGAGGUUAAUGUUAGAAUUUGACAUUACAAGGUUUUAAAUCCGUAACAAUCGUAGGUGUGUGGGUGUGGGAUCAGAAACCUGUAGUUUCUGCCUUCGUCACGUUUCCUUUCAGUUCCGUACCAAUGUAAUUCAUUCCCAUUUCCAAGCAACACGGCUACCGUCCCAUUAUAUGGAGUCGUUUCAUGUUGAGACGCCACACGGACUGGAGAUAAGUUGGGUCGCAAAACCGUGACUGGACCCACCCUCGUGGCCCAAUCCGACAUUCCACAGAGAUGCGAAUAUUUGGCGUGCGAGGGAUGCCUGUUAAUAGGGGGGGUCAAUAUACAUACGCACAAACGGUGUGGAAGUCGGAUGGCCUUUUUCUCGAUAUAUCCGCAUUGCAGUGAAAAAUAAAGAGACAAAUAUCAUUCUGGUUGCUCCCCGACUACCGACACGAACUUUCCUGCGUUUUUGGCGUGUGACAGCAUCAUUGGCUAAGGGGAAAUAGGUAUCUGUUACUUGUUCCCAUAGCAACAUGCCACUCCUACCUUUGUUGCUAAGAUACAGGCAAAAUCAUAACGGACAAGUCGGAUGUUUGAUUGUUCGGUGGCUGACUACCGAGAAACCUGUUUUUAUCUCUAUAAUAUUUAUAUGCAGGAAGGAAAAUAAAAGCGGACACGUCUCUUUGAUGUCGACUACUCUGCAGAAUGGGACUAGAAAAUGGGCGGUCGGCUGCAUAAGGGACACACGAGAGUCGUGAUUAAAGUUCAAAUCAAUGACGAGUAUAUUUCUUGUUAGGUUGUACAAUCGGAAGCUUCCCUUUGUAUUGUCAAUCGAUUAGAUAGCUCGACUGACAAGCUUUGGAAUUCCAUCUAAUCCUACACUGUACUAUCACUCCUGCAGCAUUAAUGGAUUCCAUGGCUCCUGUAAAUGAACUUCAUAAUCUUGUUAAAUGCUCCCUCAACCAACAGGAGAUGGUGGAGUAAGCUCUUUAAAGUAUUUGUUGACACAGCUUACCUGAUUCGAACGUCUUUAUUCACUGACAGUUUUCACAAAAGAAAUGUUUCAUAUUUUAAUUUUCUCCCUCUUCCUUUUUCUCUCUUUCUUCUCUCUCUCUCUCUUUCUCCCAUAAACUAUCAUUUUUUCGCUUAACCUCUUUUUUAAAUUUCC